GGGUUGAACCCACAACCCCCUGCAUGGAAGGUGCAGUCUUAACCACUGGGNUACCAGGGAAGUCCCUGCUUGUACAUUUUAAGAUAACAUAUUAAUAUAUGGAGGCCUGGAGUAUUGCUAUUCAUGGGGUCACAAAGAGUUGGACACGACUGAGCGAUUGAAUUGAAUUGACCCUUAGAAAAUGGCCAGGCGUGGCAUGCCAACAAACAAACAAACAAACGGGUGCAAACCACAUGUAAGGAAGGAAACAUCAACAGGUAAAUACUUAGUCAAUGCUUAGAAAGAAGCCUCUGGAAAUGUGCCUCAUUUGCUCUAUUAUCAGUGAAUUGAAAACUUAAACUGCAAGGCAAUAUCACUAAUAAGAAACCAAAAAGGUCAUUAUCCAAAAGUCUACAGACAAGAAAGAGUAGAUCAAUGUUAGUAAAGGGGAACCCUGUAUGCCAUUAGUGGGAGGAAAGUGGUCAGAGACUUUAUAAGCAUGGCUGCCAAAGUGCCUAGGAAUCACAAAAUGACAUAGAGAAUGUCAUAUGUCAGCUCGACUCCCAGAGUAUUUGAGCAAUCAACAGAUCGUGAAAAACACACACAACACCACCACUUCCACAAACAUACCCUGGAUCAGCUGUCACAAUGCCCAAGAGAUGAAAGGAAAGAGAAUCGCUGGCUGCAAAUUAAAAGAGAAACAUAUGGGACAUAGAGACACAAUAAAUAUGAGUCUGACAUUAUGAAAAUCCAAAAAAAAAAAAAGGUCUCACGAAUUCCGCUC
rnacentral:sRNA from 1 species